CUGGCAGCGGCCGCGAGCAGCUGGCGAGCGAAUCCCGCAAGUGCAAGGAAGGAGAAGCAGGAGAAGCGUGGAGCCGAACGGCAUCCCCGGGAUCCCCGGCGCCGAAACCCGAGCGAGCCGCCUGCAGAGCGCUGCGCCAAAAUGCUGCCGAAUAUGCGCUAAUAUAUUCCAUAUAUUUUCAUGAAUAUCUGUCGCGGUCUGGGCGCGCACUUUAUUCAACUGUCAAAGUUGGAAGGAUGCAAAAAAACGAAUUUUGCUUUGCGCUGAUAGCUUGAAACGAUUCGUCUGACGUGAGGACUGAGAUGCUUAGGGAAUGGAGCUGAGCAGACGAGCAGUCCCUCUGUAUGGGAGGGUUAAAGUCUGUGCUGUCCUGCAAACUACGGAUGCGGUUCUGCUUCCAGAGGACGCCGAGUUCUACAUCGUGCUGGAAGGGUCCUCUCUAAACCACAUCGCCGUGGCUCAGAGAGCCGGCGAGGGGUGUGACCUGAACUUCAUUGUUCCUGGCCAUAACCUCUUCGAGAUGGUUUCCGUCAUGGCUUAUCUCUAUACUGAAGGGCAGCCUGUCUCCUGCCUGGGAAAGGCCACUGUGGAGUACAUCCAGGAUGAUGCUCAGGAGCUGGCCGAGUUUCUGGUCACUCACGCUCACUGCUUAAGCGUCAGCAGCCACCAGGACAUCGCUGGCAGGUUUAGCUUAAGCGACAAGGAUGGCUGCAGAAGGAUGGAUGAGGGUAUCACACAAGCCAUGGCAAACUUAGACUAUCCAUACUCGUGGAACGUCCUCGGAAGCCAACCCGGUGAAGAACUGCAGCCCAGGGAGUCUCUGCUCCACAUUGCGGUGCGACUGGGCCUCCCCCGCGUCCUGCAGCUCCUCCUGUGCCAGCCCGGGGGCCUGAUGGCCGUGGUCUUGCCUAAUGAGGAGGGGGACACUCCUCUGAAGCUGGCAGAACAGUCCGGGCAGCAGGCCCUACUGGAACUAUUGACAGACCCUCCGAACCCACUGACCACGCCCUUGGCCGGGAUGUCGCAGGUCUGGGCCGACAGCUCGCGGCUGCUUCGCUUUUGCCACGAAUCGGAGAGGCUGACCCUGACGGUCCAGCGGGCCUCGGACAGGAACCGGCAGGCUGGGAUUCUGCAGCUGAGGAAGCGCUUGAAGGAUGAUCAUUUCCUGAGGGAGAUCAAAGCACUUUCUCAAACUGGACAGCACACUGAAUCUGAAAAAGAUGACGUCAAAGGCAUCACAAAGACUACAGAUUUUCAGAAAGAUUUAUGCGGAGUCGGCCAUGUGCUGGAAGAUAAUGUCUUUGAGGAACAGCUUGUACUCUCCCUGGACGAGGAGGAGGAACCUGCUGCAGCCUGUGCCGAGAAAAGCCCGUCUCCAUCAUUCAGGAGACCUCCGGACCAGUCGACCUUCUCAGCCGCCGCCCGGCUGUCCGCCAUGCUGAAUGGGAAGGACCAGAUAUAUGCCAAUGCCAUGCUGGUGGAGCAGGUGGGUGACUCGGACAUAAAGUACAGCAUCACUGGGGUGACGGGCGACAGCACACUGACGGACGGUGGGGGGCCCGACACUCUCGGGGGCGCUCCGCCUUUCCCAGCUGACCCUGCACAGGUGGCAGGCCCAUCCGCUUCUCUCUCACGCCCUCCACAUGCAGAGGAAGGGGGGGCCCGGGAACAAUUGGCCCCUGCUAGUCCCUCCCCAUGUCUUUCCCCUGUUGACCUAGCGCUCGCUCGGCUAAAUAAGCUAGCCCAGGCUGAUGUGCUCAGUCAUGGAGGAGGCUCCCCACAGGAGACAUGUGCUCUGAGCCCCAGUCUAGUGGCUCUGGAGGUAGACAGCGAAGAGGACGAACUGCUGGAGAAGUCAGCUUUCUCUCACCAUUCCACGUCGCUCCAGCAGGGCGGCGCCCUGCAGACUAGUAGUGGAGACGAGCGGGACUCCUUCGACGCCUCCCUGGACCUGUGUUGCAGCCACGCAUACUCCUCUCCCUUACGCAACUCUCCUUUGGACUCAGGGGAUCUCGGCCUCCGCCUGCGCUCGUACUCCUACUCAUCCCCCAAGAUCAGCUCGGUGCGGCCCCGCUGCGACCGUCACGUGGCCAGCUCGGACCUCACCGAAGAUGGAGUGUUCAGCAACAGUGGUCGGUCCCUCCUUCAGGCUCUCUCUCUGUCUAAAUCACUGUCCCUGCUCAAUCCGAUUAAACACCGUGCUUUCAGCUUGCCAGAACAGCCACAGGAGAAGAGGGAGUUAACUUUCCGUAAGAGGGCACAGUCAGCUGAGGACGAGGGCAGAGUGGCACUGGCGGAGUCCCUGCAACACCUCACCCUCUCCGAAUUCCUCAAAGAAAUUGAAGAAGAAGAGUGGGAUAAAUAUAUCAUCCCGUCCAAAGCGGAGUCGGAGAAGUACAAAGUGAGUCGCACCUUCAGCUUCUUGAAGAGCAGGAUGUCCAGCACUCGCAACAAGAACAAGGGGAAGGCAAAGGAAAAGGAGGGCAAAGAGAAGUCACUGAAUGGGCACCAGUUUGCCACAGGGUCCUGCACAGGUCUGACGCUGUGCCUGGUCUGCGACAAGCCAGCGGUGGGGAAGGACCUCCUUCAGUGUUCAAACUGCGGCAUCAACGUGCACAAAGGCUGUCGGGAUUCUGUCACACCUUGCAUGAAGAAGCUUCAAGAAAAAUAUGUGGUGACAAUGAAGAACAAGACAACUUCCCUCCCGCAGAACACUCUGAUGCGGGAAAAUCCCAUAACCUGCGUCAUCCCCACCUCCACCUCCCUGCCCGCCGUCAUGUGUCGGGAUAAGAGGGAACAGGCCAGCGUGCCUGGCUCCCUGUCCAAGAGCGCACCCAUCGUCACAGAGCGCAGGCUAAGCGAGGGUCCCGAAAUCGACCCUGAGACCGUGGCCUGGAGGAGUCGCUCGCAGUCCGAGGAGCUCCUGCCCGUCACCGAAUCCUCGCCCUCCACCGAUUCCUCCAUCAUUGAAGAUGUUGUGGAUGCCUCGUUAAGAAAUGACUUCCGGGAGGAUCUGCUAGAUUACGAGGCGGAGUCCUGGAGCCUUGCCGUGGACCACAAGUUCUGCAAGAAGCAGGAGAAACGUGUUGUGAAAAGACAGGAUGUGAUUUAUGAGCUGAUGCAGACCGAGAUGCACCACAUCCAGACCCUGACCAUCAUGGCCGAGAUUUUCCGGAAGGGCAUGAGGGAAGAGCUGCAGCUCGACCUGGAAACGGUGGACAAGAUCUUCCCCUGUCUAGACGAGCUGUUUGACUUCCACAAAAUCUUCUUCUGCAUCAUGAAAGAGCGGCGUCAGGCCUGCACCCUGGAGCAUAACAGUAGGAACUUCCUCAUUGACAGGAUCGGAGACAUCCUUGUGCACCAGUUUUCGCAUGAAAAUGCUGAGAAGAUGAAGCAGGUCUACGGAGAAUUCUGUAGCCAUCAUACCGAAGCUGUGAGCUUUUUCAAAGAGCUUCAGCAGCAGAACAAGAAAUUCCAGUUAUUUAUUAAACAACAGAGUAAUAACUCUUUGGUGCGGAGGAAAGAGAUCCCAGAAUGUAUCCUAUUGGUGACACAGCGCAUCACCAAAUACCCAGUAUUACUGGAGAGGAUUCUUCAGUAUUCCCAAGAGGGCACUGAGGAACACGCUGACCUGUCACGAGCCUUGGCUCUGAUUCGGGAGGUGAUCGUGGCUGUCGACCUGAAGGUCAGCGACUACAACAAGGAGCAGAAGCUGCUGGACAUCUUGAACCGCAUGGAGAACAAGACUCUGGCUAAGCUGAAGAACGGCCAAAUCUUCCGCAAACAGGACCUUCUCAACCAGACCAGGACAUUGAAGCAUGAGGGCUUGGUCUACUGGAAGACGGCAACUGGAAGACUCAAGGACAUCCUGGCACUUCUCCUCACGGACACUUUGAUAUUCCUCCAGGAGAAGGACCAGAAGUUCAUUUUUGCUGCUGUAGACCAGAAGCCUCCAGUGAUCUCCCUUCAGAAGCUCAUAGUGAGGGAGGUGGCCAAUGAAGAGAGAGGCAUGUUUCUAAUCAGCGCGUCUGCCGCCGGCCCAGAGAUGUACGAAGUGCACACGUCCUCCAAGGAGGAGCGCAACACCUGGAUGAGGCUGAUAAGGGAGGCGGUGGAGAGCUGCCCCGAGGAAGAGGAGGAAAUCAACAGCGAGAGUGAGGAAGACAAGCGAGCUGCGGAAGCCCGUGCUCAGAAGAUCCAGAAGCUGCAAGAGACGCUGAACUCACAGGACCAGCAGAUAUGCUCCAGCCUGGAGGAGAAGCUGAGGAUUUACACGGAGCUGGCGAGGAUGAACGCGAAGGAGGACUCGCUGCCUGAGCCGCGGCUGCUCAUCCAGGCCAACACAGAAGAGACGCCGCAGGCUGCGAUGCUACUCGCUGCUGCGCUCAGGGAGGCGGAGAAGCUGACCACCACACUCACGUCCCGGUCUCGCUCGUCCGACAGCAGGUCCCAGGAGAGCUUGCCAGAGCCUGGUGCUCCUGUCAGGCUCGCCGAUUCCACUGGCACUGCAAGCAUCCAGGAUUCCUCCUUGGAAUCUGACUGCACGGUCACCCACAAUUCCAGCUCAGUGUCUCAGACUUCAGACCUGGAUACCAGAGAAGUAGAGUGGACAGGGGCCAGCUCUGUAAUAUUAUCUGUCCCUGCCCCUAAAAGGGAUCACUAUAGUAUUAACCUAAAGGUGGCCCAAAGUGUGCAGAGCCUGACCCAGUUACUCUACAGUCUGCAGGCAGCUGUGACCAUCCAGGACAGCUGCUUUGAAGUGCAGAGGGUCCUCCUGCAGGAGAGCGGCAGGCUUCCCCGGCAGCCGUGCCCCCGUGCCAACGCCCUGCAGGAGCAGGAAAAGCAGCGCAACCUGGAGAAGCAGCGGGAGGAGCUCGCCGGCGUGCUGCGGCUGCAGGGCCAGCUGCGGCAGGAGCGGCAACGCUGGGAGCGCGAGUGCGACCUGCGGCGGCGCCAGCAGGAGGCGCUGGAGAGCCGGUUGGAGGCACGCGAACUGGAGUGCCAGCGGCAGGCGCAGCGGCUGCGGCGGGAGCGCGAGGAACUGGAGGGCCAGCUGCGGGAAUACCAGCAGAGCCUGGAGAGGCUGCGCGACGGGCAGCGGCUGGUGAGCCGCGAGCGCGAGAAGCUGGAUGCCCAGCAGAGGAUGCUGCAGAGCUGGCGCCACAACCGGCAGAGGAGUCUGCCCGUCAUGAUGAUCCCGCUGGAUGGCUGCCAGGACUCGGCCCAUGGGCAGUACUGCGGCUGUGACGGGAAUGGCUCCGUGUUCGUCAACGAGGCAGCACUCCACCUGCCGCUCAACAACCGGCAGGCGCAGCAGCACCAGCGCUCAGGCUCUUUGGUGUUCCCCAACGGGCCCAGCACCCAGAACAACCUGAACUCCCUCAUUGGCCGUCCUGCUGAGAAGCUGGGCUGCGGACAGCAGGCGGACGGCUCCCAUCACUGCAUGCUGACCCACAGCCAGAGCCACGGCACGGGGAGCCCACCGAACGCGCCUUACUCCAGCGGGGGGGUCAGCAGCCUCGGGAGCUCGCUCGCUCACAAUGGUAUGGACCUCCAAGAACCACAGGGCCAAAGGGACACAGAACCUCAGACUACUAUAGUGAAGGAAGGUGACAUGAACACGCUCCAGCACAACGUCAGUGGCGAUCGAUGGCCAGUGGAGACGCUGCUCUCGAGCCCGGACCUCUGCCACAGCUCCAGCCAGCCGGUGAAGAGCGAUCUCCUCAUCUCCCAGCCCUGCGUCCCUGUGGAGACUGAGAAUGGGGAGGAUGGGAGUGAGGAGAACAUUGUGUACCUCUAAACCGCUAGAUACCCAGAUAGAGGACAUAAAUGUCACCCCAUAGACUGUGAACUGCUGUUCCAUUCAGCUUUACCGCACAGGUUGAAUGAGAUGAGCCCAUGCAAUGUAAGCGUGCACUUAUUGGUAUAUCAGUCUGGUAACACUUCACUGCGUAGGGCUCUGAUGUACAUCAUCAAACAAUACAUGAGAGUAUAAGGACUAUAGAACAGUACCUGUAUUUUAAUAUGGGUGAUGCGCUGCAGUGGCAUUCCGAAGGAUUAGAAAGCCUUUUACCAGCCGGGUCACUGGAACAGGGGAAAUUUAGGGACACCUGAACCUCAUGUUGGAGAACCGGGAGGAAGACUUCACCUGCACGGGCGGGAACACGGACCCUCCACACAGCCGCACAGCUGGUGAUUUGGGUUCCAACCCCCAGCCCAGAAGUGGGUCGAGAUGAUGGGAGGGCGCUGGGGGGAAUGGUGGACCCGAGAUCACAAGAAUCGUUCAAGUGCCUGAUUGCCUGGCCCAGAAAAAACAACUCAGGACCUUAGAUUGGACAGCCUCUAUUUAUAAGACUGAUGUGGUCCGAGAGGUGUGUUAGGAGUGAAUGAUCAGUAUGAACAUCUCGCUGGAGAAGUGUUACAACUUCAAUUUGGUCCCUCUGAACCAAAGUUUUCCUUCUUUUUCUUUUGAGAUUUCUGUGCUUUCACUCUGCAUCAGACAAGGAUGUCCUACCGCACCAUGCCAUCAGCUUUCUGAAAUCCAGGGGAUUCAGCCUCUUAACAUUAUUUAGUACAAUUGUGUCAUGAGGAAAUACACCAAUGAAGUGGUGGUCAUUUUCUGAUUUUGUACGUGUGCUUUUUAGACGCCCUGAUUUGAGGGAAUAGGAAUGGUGUCACGGUCAUGAUUACCCUCAGCCUCUGAAAGCCCAAAGAAUUUACGGGAUUCCAGUGUAAGUUCGGUGCAGCACUGUAGAGCGCAUUCAACCACAUGUGUCUGAUACACCGUUAAGUUAGGAAUUGUGAAAAGCUACCUCUAGUAACAUUUGUCACUGUGAUAUACAAGUGGCUUUUAAGCACCCUGUAGUUAAUCAUCUGUACUAAUUACUCAUGUAUGUUUCUAAGGAGUUUUCAACAGUUGUACCUAAACCCUUAAAAAAUGAAUGCUGGUGUCCUCCAGUGAUCUUACGUGUAAUUAAUCUUUUGUGCACUUGGACAUAAUUAUAUAAUUCCUCUCAGAUGUAUAUAGAGAGAAGGUGUAUGACUUCUAUAUGAGCUAUAUAUCUGUGUAUAUUAUCAUGUGUAUCUGUGUGUAAAUGUCCUUGGCUAUUAGAGCAUGUGUAUAUGGUGUAUAUGGCAGGAUUGCUGCAUAUUAUGUAGUAUUCAUGUCCUUGAUAACAUUGGUAUAAUUGUGCUUUUUUUUACAAUAAUAUUUCCAAAAAAGGUCCUCGUUAUUUUGUUUCCACUAUGGCAGUGUAUUUUAAAAAGACAGUGUAUUUUUAAAAAAAGAAACAAAAUAGUUUGCAGCCUUUUUUUAAAUUGUAUUUCAAAAGGUAUUUUUCUUAAUUUAUUUAAAAUUGAUGUUCUCGUGUUAAGUAUAUGAACAAUGUCAACACCUUCAUUAUUAUAAUUAUAGUUAUAUAAUUAAUUAUAUAAUUAUAUAUAAUUCUGAAUAUUGUAUCAUUUAAACUCUGAUGUGUAAUUAUCUUAUAAAAUCAAAUGUGCCUUCUUUCAAAUUUAACAUCUUGUGUUCUAUAAAAGCCAGAGAUGUUUACAAUUUUGAUAAUCUUAGGAUGAAAACCAUAUUAUGACUCAUAUUCUGAUUUCACUAAGAAAUGAAACUGCACUGUACCCUGAGCCCCAAGAACUAGUUGAAACUAGUGAUAACAGUAAGUAGUACUUGAGCUAUAAGGACUCACCACAACAAUCGGCAAGGUGGACAGACUAUCGAAAUGAAAGCUCAUAAUUAAUUUCCAUGAACAGAAAUUCAGAUACAGACGAACGUUGCACAUAAGGAUUGCUUUUGCAUUUGUAUAGUCAAGUGUCAUUGAUAAUUAUAUACUUGUGCUUGUUUCCAUAAUCUGUUGAUGCAUGGCAGGAUGCUUCAGUAAUGCAACAUCAGCAUCAGUGGGGAUAAUGCACAGGAACAGGAGUGAAGCACUGUCUUUGCGAUGUCUCUGGGUAGGUUGUCAUUAACGUGCCGAACUACACUCUUCUGGUUUCUUCUGAUACAUGCGCUUACCUUCUACUUAAUACUACAAAAAUGAGCUUGGUUAGACAGCUGUCUGUGGAUGCCUGUCCAGUGUGUCUAAUAGACAUAAUAAAUUAAACAUAUCUCGUCUUGAAACAGCUGGAAGAAUUGCAUGGUGGCUUGCUCAUUCACCUGGGCCCAUAUAAAAUCUACAUUUUUAAUUUUCCCAUAAAUGUUACGUAGCAACUGACAUUUUCCUACAUUGACAGUGCUAUUAACAUUUCCUCCGGCUUUGGCCUGAUGCUUUGGUGAUUUAUUGAGUCAUUUAGUUGAUGUAUUGGACAUCUUGAGAGCAGUCAGCAUAAAAGGAUUUUGGUAAUGCGGCGCUAUUUAGCUGGAACAAGGUGGUGCCAUCGACUUGUACGUGAAAUAAUAGCCUUUUUUUUUUGCGGAGUGCUAGAACAAACAACCUCUCUUCCAGGUGUCGCUAUGGCAACUGCCCAGAACUGUGAAUUCAGUAAAAUUGGAACAGAUGUACUGCGUUCUUUUGCAAACUUUCUGACGGUAAUGAGAUUCUAAAAACAAUGUAGCUGACAAAACUUUUUCUGCAGCAGACAUGGUUAAUAUGUGCAUUUAUUAGAACAGAGUUUUGCGAGAUGGAUUUUCAGGUAGCUACUUUUAUAUUCAUACUUCUUGAUCAUCACCCCUUUGUCACUCAUGAUUAAAUUCAGGCCCUGCAGAAUUUCACAGUUGCCUGUCUGAUGUAACUGCAUUAGAUCUCAUAUUUCACUUCAAAUGUAAAUGGGGCCACAGUUCUCUUUGCUGAAUGUUGUUAUUAAUGAUAAAUGUGCAUCAUAGUAUGUCAAGAAUUCUGAGCUAAAAUGAGUUCAUGACCAUUACCAUAUGUCAGAACAGAUAUAUACACGUGUCAAAGUACCAUAUCUGUUCCUGUAAUGUGUUACUAUUUCAGCAACAUUUCUUCUAAUCAUGGAAUUCAUCCUAAGCAAACAUGUUACGUGCACAAAUGACAAAACUGGCCCAACAGGAUCAAGCAUUCAAUAAAAAACCGUGUCAUUC